UACGAAGGGGGCUAGCGUUGCUCGGAAUCACUGGGCGUAAAGGGCGCGUAGGCGGCCAUUCAAGUCGGGGGUGAAAGCCUGUGGCUCAACCACAGAAUUGCCUUCGAUACUGUUUGGCUUGAGUAUGGCAGAGGUCAGUGGAACUGCGAGUGUAGAGGUGAAAUUCGUAGAUAUUCGCAAGAACACCAGUGGCGAAGGCGGCUGACUGGGCCAUUACUGGACGCUGAGGCGCGAAAGCGUGGGGAGCAAACAGG
rnacentral:rRNA from 1 species